AACCGUUAUAACCGGCGAUACCCGAAUGGGGAAACCCAGUGUGACUCGUCACACUAUCAUUAACUGAAUCCAUAGGUUAAUGAGGCGAACCGGGGGAACUGAAACAUCUAAGUACCCCGAGGAAAAGAAAUCAACCGAGAUUCCCCCAGUAGCGGCGAGCGAACGGGGAGGAGCCCAGAGCCUGAAUCAGCAUGUGUGUUAGUGGAAGCGUCUGGAAAGGCGCGCGAUACAGGGUGACAGCCCCGUACACAAAAGCGCAUGUGCUGUGAGCUCGAUGAGUAGGGCGGGACACGUGGUAUCCUGUCUGAAUAUGGGGGGACCAUCCUCCAAGGCUAAAUACUCCUGACUGACCGAUAGUGAACCAGUACCGUGAGGGAAAGGCGAAAAGAACCCCGGCGAGGGGAGUGAAAAAGAACCUGAAACCGUGUACGUACAAGCAGUGGGAGCACCCUUUGGGUGUGACUGCGUACCUUUUGUAUAAUGGGUCAGCGACUUAUAUUCUGUAGCAAGGUUAACCGAAUAGGGGAGC
rnacentral:rRNA from 1 species